UACGGAGGGUGCGAGCGUUGUCCGGAAUCACUGGGCGUAAAGGGCGCGUAGGCGGCCUGAUAAGUAGGGGGUGAAAUCCUGCGGCUUAACCGCAGGGCUGCCUUCUAAACUGUCAGGCUAGAGCACAGUAGAGGCAGGUGGAAUUCCCGGUGUAGCGGUGGGAUGCGUAGAGAUCGGGAAGAAUACCUGUGGCGAAGGCGGCCAGCUGGGCCAGAUCCGACACUGAGGCGCGAAAGCGUGGGGAGCAAACAGG
rnacentral:rRNA from 1 species